CCGAGAAUUUUUCACAAUGGGGGAAACCCUGAUGGAGCGACGCCGCGUGGGGGAUGAAUGGCUUCGGCCCGUAAACCCCUGUCAUUUGCGAGCAAAGCGCAUUAUUUAAAAGAUGAUGUGUUGAUAGUAGCGGAAGAGGAAGGGACGGCUAACUCUGUGCCAGCAGCCGCGGUAAUACAGAGGUCCCGAGCGUUGUUCGGAUUCACUGGGCGUAAAGGGUGCGUAGGUGGUGAGGUGUGUCGGAUGUGAAAUCUCGGAGCUCAACUCCGAAACUGCAUUGGAGACUACCUUGCUGGAGGGUUGGAGGGGGGACGGGAAUACUUGGUGUAGCAGUGAAAUGCGUAGAUAUCAAGUGGAACACCAGUGGCGAAGGCGAGUCCCUGGACAACUCCUGACACUGAGGCACGAAAGCUAGGGGAGCAAACAG
rnacentral:rRNA from 1 species